AGCAGCCGCGGUAAUUCCAGCUCCAAUAGCGUAUAUUAAAGUUGUUGCAGUUAAAAAGCUCGUAGUUGAAUUUCGGGAUUGGCGCAUCGGUCGUGCCUUACGGGGUAUGAACUGGUGCAGUCAAUUUCUCACCUUCUGGAGAACCGCGAUGUCCUUAAUUGGGUGCCGCGGGGAACCAGGACCUUUACUUUGAAAAAAUUAGAGUGUUUAAAGCAGGCAUUUUUGCUUGAAUACAUUAGCAUGGAAUAAUAAAAUAGGACGGCAUGGUUCUAUUUUGUUGGUUUCUAGGACCACCGCAAUGAUUAAUAGGGAUAGUUGGGGGCAUUAGUAUUCAAUUGUCAGAGGUGAAAUUCUUGGAUUUAUUGAAGACUAACUACUGCGAAAGCAUUUGCCAAGGAUGUUUUCAUUAAUCAAGAACGAAAGUUAGGGGAUCGAAGACGAUCAGAUACCGUCGUAGUCUUAACCAUAAACUAUGCCGACCAGGAAUCAGACGAUGUUAAUUUUUUAAAUGACUCGUUUU
rnacentral:rRNA from 1 species